rnacentral:lncRNA from 1 species
ACUGGAAAGCUAUUUCGGAUAAAAAAGUAUCGGUUUUAGCGGACAUUAUUUAUGCAGAAUUACAGGAAAUCGUUAUUUGUUCUGGUCGUUUCUGAGCAUGGAUAUUUUUCGGAAGAGUUCGCAUGCUAGUUCCCACAUACUUGAUUCAGAUUCAUUGGUAAUGGAGGCCUUGUGUACUAUGCAGUACAAAGAAAACUACAUUCAUGUGUCAACAUUUGCUGUUAUUA